GGGCCCGCACAAGCGGUGGAGUAUGUGGUUUAAUUCGACGCAACGCGAAGAACCUUACCAGGACUUGACAUCCUCUGACAAUCUAAGAGAUUAGAUGUUCUGCCUUCGGGCAGACAGAGAGACAGGUGGUGCAUGGUUGUCGUCAGCUCGUGUCGUGAGAUGUUGGGUUAAGUCCCGCAACGAGCGCAACCCUUGUCUUUAGUUGCCAGCAUUUCGGAUGGGCACUCUAGAGAUACUGCCGGUGACAAACCGGAGGAAGGUGGGGAUGACGUCAAAUCAUCAUGCCCUUUAUGUCCUGGGCUACACACGUACUACAAUGGCCUGUACAAAGGGUCGCGAAGCCGUAAGGUGGAGCCAAUCCCAAAAAGCAGGUCUCAGUUCGGAUUGCAGGCUGCAACUCGCCUGCAUGAAGUCGGAAUCGCUAGUAAUCGCGGAUCAGCAUGCCGCGGUGAAUACGUUCCCGGGCCUU
rnacentral:rRNA from 1 species